rnacentral:misc_RNA from 1 species
GUUUGAUACUCGCACUGUUUCCCAUUUUUUUCUGAGAUGGACGGCCUUUUGCAGAUGAAUUUGGGCCUCCGGAAGAUGGUUUCAGUGUGGAACCCUUGCUUGCAGUGGAUCGUGUAAGAAGAGAUGGGCGUCUUCCAAGCUGAUUAUGAGACUGAUCCAAAACACGAAAACAUCCUGCACGCCUGAUGUCCCAAAAGCGAAUCGCGCCAUCGCAUCCCCCUGUUAUCAAAACCCACUCACUAGAAGCAGACCAUUCAACCGACAUUACUCCAUCACGAUGGCCAGAUAAUGUAUGAGCAAAUGCACCCGAAGAAAUAUCACAAAGACGAACUUGAACAUCUUCAGUUCCAGCAGCAAUUAACAUGUGUGAUGUUGCCACCGGAGACAUGGCAGUAUUGUACACUUUCCCAGGCAUUUUGAAAUUGACUACCACCUGUGUUGUAUUAGUAUCCCAGACAUUAACAUAAUGAUCAUAAGAGCCUGUAAUAAAAAGUCCCGUGUCAAUUGGAUACCAGUUGGCUGUGGAAAUGGCAUAUUUGUGGC